GGUCCAUGAUGAGAACCCAAGUCAUGCACCACUCUGAGGGUGUCUCUGCUGAAAAUGUCUUCCAUAACUAUUUCUCUGAGGCU
rfam:Picea glauca, whole genome shotgun sequence.